GCCCCUGUGGCGGAAUUGGUAGACGCGCUCGACUCAAAAUCGAGUUUCGCAAGAAGUGUCGGUUCGAGUCCGACCGGGGGCACCA
rnacentral:tRNA from 2 species